rnacentral:misc_RNA from 1 species
UCAUCUCGUAGGAGUAGUCGCGGACCACCGGCGUGUCCGGAUUGGCCGGCAUGUUGACCACGAGCGUGAAGUCGGUGUUGCGAUCGUAAACUUGGCCGUAUUGCAGGAUUUCCUGCCAGCCUGCGUUGAACCGCGCCGAGUUGGCCGUCGGUGGCAAUCGCGUGAGUUCGGGCGCGCUGAUCUGGAACGAUGCCUUGGUGCUUACGCUGGAGGGCUGAUCGAAAAAGCUCGUGACGCGCAUCACGACGAUGCCGAUGAGAGCCAGCACAAUGGUUCCCACCGCGUAGAAGGAAUACCGUACCGCCUUCCCGGCGUAACUGCCGACGGUUGAGAGAUGGCUGUGAUCGAAGGACAUUUCAAAAUUCCGGAUUGAUCG